GCCAGGGCGGGCCCCUUGAGCCGCCUUCAGCUGCAGCAGUGCCCGGUGGUACUUGCCAAUGGCUUCUCGGAACUUCUUCUCUCGGUAGCAACGCUGACCCUCCGCCUUGAACGCCACGGCAGCCCGCAGGCUGCUGUCGAGCGCCGCAGCCAGGCCCCCAGACGGCUCUGGGGCAGGACCCGACCGAGCAGAGCCAUGGCGAGGCGCUGAGCCGGGGCCCGGCGGGGAAAGGGCGGGAGGCGGGCGCGGUGGAGGCUCCGGGGCAGCGCUGAGCAUCAGCACCGGGGACAGCGCGCCGCGCUGCAUUGUGGGAAACUCCUGCGGCCGCCGCUGCAGCUACCGCAUCGCCCCCCGCGGGGCCGGUCCCCACCCUUUCUCCGCCCCCACAUCUCUGGCUGCCGUCUCCGGCUGCCCCCUAUGGGUCUAGAAAAACCCCUCCAAACUCCCCCUCGCUCACCCUCAAACCAGCCUGGGUCUAGUUGUUCUGGCGCCUCUCCCUUGUCCCCACAGUCCUUACCCUCCCACCCGACUGCAUGUUCUCCCGGAGAUUUCUAGAAGAAAAAGGCUGAGCGGGCAGACAUCAGUUUUGUGGAAAGCUGGUUUUCAGCCCACUAGUCAUUUGGCAUGUUGGAUAAGAAUACAGGAUUGGGAGUCAAGCUGCCCGGCUUCAGACACUGGUUUCUCAUUACUCUAUGAUUUGGACAAUCCCCUCAAAUUACCUAUUGUACUAUAGUGCGGGACAAUAGUACAUACGUUGGAAUCGAUUCUUUAUGUAAUAAACAAAUAGCCAUUGCUCAAUUUCUGUUCAGGGGGAGGGGGUUGAUGGGCCAAUGUAAAAACAAACAACAACAACAGAAGUCAAGUGGGGUAGCACCUGCCUGUAGUCACACUCGGACAUCUGAGGCAGGAGAGUGGAAAGAAGUUUGAAGCUAAUCUGGUGCUAACGAGGAAAUUCCAGAUCAGCCAUGAACUACAAAGAAAAGAGGUUUGCUGUGAUUAUCCAAUCAGAGGAAUUAUAGAAGCCUGGAAGCAACCAGUCAAAAUCGAGUGCGGGACUGAAAUUCGACCAAUAAGGAUGAAGGACUCUCCAAAGAAAAGAAAGACUUUUUGUUGAAUUAAAACUACCAAGAUGGUGAAGACAGUAACUAGGCAGUUAUUACUUGGUGCCCAAGAGAACCAAGACACUACCCUCGGCCAAGACCAUCAACUGCAGAGCUCUGGGCCAUGUCUGGAGCUCACCCUGUCAAGCACCCAUGGUUUGCCAGGCUCAGAGCCACAGCUGUUUGCUGACCUGGUUCCUGCGUGUAGCCUGUACAGGCUCAGGGACAACAGGGACAGCUUCAGGAAGUGAGCGGCAAAGAGAAUGACUUUAUACAAGGCCUCUACAUACUCGCCAAGCCCACUGCGUCCCACUGCGUGUGGGUCACGCCCCUACCCUGAAGCACUUGAGGGCUGCUCCAGGGCAGAGCAGCCGGCAGCCAAUGGCAGAGCAGAGGGACUAAAUGGUACAGACAGAAACUGAAGUGGCUGAGGGUGGGGUGCUCCACACUCGGAAGGAGCCGGCAGAAGGAGGCCGACCGUGGACAGAAGGAAAAGCAUUAUGGGAGCCUUGGACCCUCUGCUCUGGAGUUAUUGGGAUGGAUGAGUGUGGUCCCACUUCCAGACUUGAGUUUCCUGGUCUGUAAAAUGAGACCGAUAAGCCGGGCGUGAUGGCGCACACCUUUAAUCCCAGCACUCGGGAGGCAGAGGCAGGUGGAUCUCUGAGUUCGAGGCCAGCCUGGUCUACAAAGUGAGUUCCAGGACAGCCAGGGCUAUACAGAGAAACCCUGUCUCGAAAAACCAAAAAAAAAAAAAAAAAAAAAAAAAAAAGUGGGGGGGGGACCGAUGACAUAAGCCUACAAGUUGUAGAUAAACCCUGCUUCUGUGUUCCAAUGACCUGGUUUGGCACAGUUGUGUAUUGUGGCUAUUCAUUUAAAUGCUUUGCGGUUUUUUGUUUUGGUAUUUAUUUUGUGUGUAUGAGUGUUUCGACUGAGUGUAUGUAUCUGUGUACCACGCACGUGCCUGGUGUCCAUGAAGACCAACAAAAAGGUUUUGAAUCCUCUUGACAUGGAAUUAGGAACAGAGCCGGGCGUGGUGGCGCAUGCCUUUAAUCCCAGCACUUGGGAGGCAGAGGCAGGCGGAUUUCUGAGUUCGAGGCCAGCCUGGUCUACAGAGUGAGUUCCAGGACAGCCAGGGCUAUACAGAGAAACCCUGUCUCGAAAAAACAAAACAAAACAAACAAACAAAAAAACAAAAACAAAAAAAACCCAAACAAACAAAAAAAAAAAAGGAAUUAGGAACAGUUGUUAUUACCAUUUGUACUGGGACUCAAACUCAAGUCCUCCGGAAGAGCUCUUAACGAUAGAUGAGCCACACUGUCCAGCAUACUCCCCUCUUAAUAGACAGACCUUCGUUGUAAUUCAGGCUGGUAUCGAACUCAACAAUCAUCCUAUCUCAGCCUCUCAAGUGCUAAGAUUAUGAGCAUGAAAUUGUGAAAUUCCACAGCUGGCUUCUACGCUCAUUCUUUCAUUCAUUCAUUCACUCAUUCACUCAUUCUUUCUUUCUUUCUUUUUUCUU